UUUUGGACAAUGGGCGAAAGCCUGAUCCAGCCAUGCCGCGUGCAGGAUGAAGGCCUUCGGGUUGUAAACUGCUUUUGUACCCAACCAAAAGACUCCUUCUAAUAAAGGGGGUCCAUGACGGUACCGUAAGAAUAAGCACCGGCUAACUACGUGCCAGCAGCCGCGGUAAUACGUAGGGUGCAAGCGUUAAUCGGAAUUACUGGGCGUAAAGCGUGCGCAGGCGGUUAUAUAAGACAGAUGUGAAAUCCCCGGGCUCAACCUGGGAACUGCAUUUGUGACUGUAUAGCUAGAGUACGGCAGAGGGGGAUGGAAUUCCGCGUGUAGCAGUGAAAUGGGUAGAUAUGCGGAGGAACACCGAGGCGAAGGCAAUCCCCUGGCCUUACUACGCUCAGCACGAAA
rnacentral:rRNA from 1 species